rnacentral:tRNA from 1 species
GCAUGGUGGUUCAGUGGUAGAAUUCUCACCUUCCACGUGGGAGACCCAGGUUUGAUUUCCAGCCAUUGCA